GAAAGUGCUGGCUGAAGAGUGUUCAUUAACAGAAGGAAUUUGAGGAGGAGCAGGACAGGAAGAGACAAAAAGAGAUUCAACAACGUACCAAGCGUAAAGAGCUGAGUUUCCAGGCUGAGGAUGUGAAAGGAAGCGGACAGGAAGAGAAGGGAAGAGGAAGGGCAAGAGCCUGAGAAAACAGAUUGAGAGGCAGAUCAGAGCCAGAGGGACAAUUCACCACUCAUUCCAGCCCUGCAGAAGAAAUUGGACAAGCAUCUAACUCCCAGACCUCCCAGUGCUGCCAGUCAGUUCUCAUCCAGGGCCCUGUCUGAGGGUCCCGGAAUUGGAGCGGAUCGGGAGCCUGUGGUGGCUGCUAGGAGGAUUCAGGAGAAAAAGGAACUGCAUAUAGUAAAUGUGGAUAAAGUGGAGACUUACCUUGAGACAUCUGAGUCGGAGCCCCAACAGGGACUCCUGGUUGCUGCUGCCCCGGGUUUCCCGAUGACGCUUCCUCCGGUUCCAUCUUCUCCUCUUGGAUCACAUCAGGAGAAGGUAGGGGGGUUGGUUCAGGCAGAUGUUGAUUUGGAUACCCUUUCUUCCACUACAAUUAUUAUUCUACCAGGUAAGGAGCCUAGAUCUGUUUGUCAUGAACCAAUUAGACAUCCAAAUUCCACCAAUAAACUUUAUGACUGGG
ensembl:lncRNA